CUGGGCAUGGUUUUAUUCAGAAACCCCAGCCUAAUCCCUGAUUAGAGAAACAAGAUUUUUCAGGUGUGUUUCUGAGAUGGACUCUUGAAUUAUAAAUAGGAAUUAAUUUUCCAACUAAAUGGUUUCUGAUUUCACUUUAGAUUGUCUCUCUGUGAAUGUUUCACCAGCAAAAUUUUUUCUCUUCCUUCUCCCUGUUGAUUGAGAUGAGUGGGUGUAAGCUGCCUCGAGACUGCCAUCAGAGAGGUCCUUGAAGAUCCAGGCAAAGGAUCAAAGUCUUACUGUGUGAGGCACUGGACACACAUCAUAAAUCUGUAGCCCCAAAGAAGCAGCAGAAUGGGUUUCCACAGACACUUAGGAUAGGAAAUAAUCCCAAGGCUCAUUACUACAUAUAAAUCCCUCAGCCUUCUGGGUUUCCUUCUCUGGAGCCACUGCGAAAAUGGACACAUCAAUACAGCCUUCUGCAGAAAAGCUGACAAUCUCAAAAUGGGCUCAUGCUGCAAAAACUGAAAUCUCCUGCCAGCUCCUAGGAGCCAGCUGCUAUGUGAACUGUUAACAUCCCAGCUCAAAGAGACUGCAGACCAAACAGAAAGUCUUGUUUGGGAAAAUUCUUGAGCCCAAAUGAUUGGAGGAUUACUUUGGAUAAGUAAAGAACUCUGGAUUGGUAAAUUUUGCUGUUAAUCCCCAAGAUAAACUUCAUGAACAUUCACUGCAGAGUAACUUCACUUUUCAUGAACAAGCUGUGGUA
rnacentral:lncRNA from 1 species